GACGAACGCUGGCGGCGUGCUUAACACAUGCAAGUCGAACGGUGAAGCUCCAGCUUGCUGGAGUGGAUCAGUGGCGAACGGGUGAGUAACACGUGAGCAACCUGCCCCUGACUCUGGAAUAAGCGCUGGAAACGGCGUCUAAUACUGGAUACGAGAAGGGUCCGCAUGGGCACUUUCUGGAAAGUUUUUCGGUUGGGGAUGGGCUCGCGGCCUAUCAGCUUGUUGGUGAGGUAAUGGCUCACCAAGGCGACGACGGGUAGCCGGCCUGCGAGGGCGACCGGCCACACUGGGACUGAGACACGGCCCAGACUCCUACGGGAGGCAGCAGUGGGGAAUAUUGCACAAUGGGCGAAAGCCUGAUGCAGCGACGCCGCGUGAGGGUUGACGGCCUUCGGGUUGUAAACCUCUUUCAGCAGGGAAGAAGCGAAAGUGACGGUACCUUCAGAAGAAGCACCGGCUAACUACGUG
rnacentral:rRNA from 1 species